rnacentral:lncRNA from 1 species
CAGCCUAGUUGGGGAGAAGGACUGGGCCCAAUACCAGAAGCUGAUCCAAAGUGGUCAGAACUGGGGAAGGAGACCUGUGAGCUGAAAGCAGGUAAAGGAAGUAUCCAGACAGAGGCACUGGUAAAAGACCUGGAGCUGGGAAGGGUCUAGGGACCAGGGACAGGUUGUACUGUAAUUCUGGAAACCUGUGAGGCUCAAAGAAAGGGCAGAGAGCUCAGGUGGGAAAUAGAAAAGGCACCUGAACAGUCCAGGGAUGGCUUUCGACUACUUGAAACAGCCUUGGGAGUUUCAGAAGCUAUUGGAAUGCUCCUUACUGUUCAGCCUUCUAAGAACCAGUCUUAGAGGUAGGGUGUCUGAGGUCCAGUGAGGGACACAAGUAGGAGGGAGCCCAGAUCUUGUUCCCUUUACCUUGCCUAUAUUUCUUAACACCACUUCAGCAGUCUCAUAUCUGGCUUUUUUGACUUUCCUCUUCUCUGGGUCUGUAGAGGGCCUUGGAGUGACACCCUGACCCCCAUCCACUAGUACUUGAAGGCCAGUGGUGGCAGAAGCCACAGAAACAAGAAGCCCAGUGAGAUGGCUAAGCUGCCCAGCAUGUAACUUAAAUCCCUGUUCAUUCCCCAUUCCUUUAGCUGCUGGAGCCAGUUCUGCUUCUCGGCAAGGAGCGAUUUGCUGGUGUAGACAUCCGUGUCCGUGUAAAGGGUGGUGGUCACGUGGCCCAGAUUUAUGGUGAGUCCCAGGAACUGGGCGCAUGGAGGAGGUGGCUCUGGGAGGGAGGCCUUCACAGCGCUCCUGUACCCUUUAAUUGUGUGUCUUUCUCACAGCUAUCCGUCAGUCCAUCUCCAAAGCCCUGGUGGCCUAUUACCAGAAAUAUGUGGAUGAGGCUUCCAAGAAGGAGAUCAAAGACAUCCUCAUCCAGUAUGACCGGACCCUGCUGGUAGCUGACCCUCGUCGCUGCGAGUCCAAAAAGUUUGGAGGCCCUGGUGCCCGCGCUCGCUACCAGAAAUCCUACCGAUAAGCCCAUCGUGACUCAAAACU